CAGUAGCCGCGGGAAUACGUAGGGUGCGAGCGUUAAUCGGAAUUACUGGGCGCAAAGCGAGCGCAGACGGUUACUUAAGCAGGAUGUGAAAUCCCCGGGCUCAACCUGGGAACUGCGUUCUGAACUGGGUGACUAGAGUGUAUCAGAGGGAGGUAGAAUUCCACGUGUAGCAGUGAAAUGCGUAGAGAUGUGGAGGAAUACCGAUGGCGAAGGCAGCCUCCUGGGAUAACACUGACGUUCAUGCUCGAAAGCGUGGGUAGCAAACAGGAUUAGAUACCCCCGUAGUCCCUGUCUCUUAUAC
rnacentral:rRNA from 1 species